GUUUUACCACCCGAGGAUACAUCCAAAGUACAGGUAAAUUAGACAUUUCCCUGUGCGAGAUCAAAUGACUUGAGCUUUACAUUGGUUCAACUGUCCCUGUCAUCAAAUAUUAUGUUUGCAAGAUGAACAAGACCUUUGUCACUCCUGGACUGAGGAUGUACUUCUGUCGCUUCACAAAAAAUGCAUCUAAAGCACCAUCUCAAUGACCGGCCGAGGACGUGAUGGUUAGUCUCAGCACUGGAGAUGUUAUGAGACAGGUCUGGAUGAUGAUGGGUACGGACAAGAGACAAACAAUAACAACAAUUGGUCAGACUUUGUCAAAGAGGCAGGGACUAGAGAGUAUUAGAUAUGUGUCUUUGCCUUCAAAAUUGAAAAUGGGAAACCAUUGCUCACCGUCCAUAAGCUUUGAAAGGCUAAGGUUAAUGUGCCCUGUGAAGUUUUUUUUUGAGGGAUAAUGUGCCCUGUGAAGUUGAUCGAGAAGGCAACCGUGUGGUCUCAAGAACCUUGUGGUCAAGUGGUUACCGUAAAUACCCUCUCAUGUUCACGUUUUUCCUACCAAACUUAAUGUCAAGUGGUUACAUAGUUGUCUCACCGACGCACUAAACUGAAUGUUGCCUUAUUUCUCAUUACGGUGUUGAACUGGAUGAUGUUUUGCUCCUAUUA